UACGUAGGGGGCGAGCGUUGUCCGGAAUCAUUGGGCGUAAAGCGCGUGUAGGCGGCUUGGUAAGUCCGGUGUGAAACCUUGGGGCUCAACCCCAAGCCUGCACUGGAUACUGCCUCGCUUGAGUCCGGGAGGGGAGAGCGGAAUCCUAGUGUAGCGGUGAAAUGCGCAGAUAUCGGGAAGAACACCCGUGGCGAAGGCGGCUCUCUGGGACGGUACUGACGCUGAGACGCGAAAGCGUGGGGAGCGAACGAGG
rnacentral:rRNA from 1 species